CCCCCCCCCCCCCCCCCCCCCCCCCCCCCCCCCCCCCCCCCCCCCCCCCCCCCGAAAAAAAACAUCAAAAAAAAAAAAAAAGGGAAAAGGAGGAAAAAAAACCACAAAAAAAAGACUUUUCAAGACUUUAUAAGUGCUGGAAGGGGGAGCAGGAGGAGCUGGAGCCCAGCUCCACAAAAGCCUUUUUUUUGGGAUUUAACCACAUGCCCAGAUCUGUCCGGCCUUUCUUUAUGGGAUGUGGUGAAGCCAGUGCCAAAAAUAGAAAUCUGGGAAGAAAAGAGCCAGGGAAACAUUGCUCCUAUUCCAGUUUUCCUCCCUUUGCCUCACCCUCCCCUCCCUGUCUCGGGGGAUGGAGCCAGGACACCCCGGAGCCUCUGGAUCCUCCAAAUCCCUUUUUUUUACCCCCUUAAAACCAUUAAAAAUCCAACUUUAUUUAACAAAACCCUAAUAAUUCAUUUACUCCCCAGCCCACCUGGGAUCCUUGGCUCUCCUCAUUUUCUCUUUCUCUCUGGUCUAUCAUUCAAAUGAUCAUUAAUUAUUAUUAUUAUUGUUAUUAUUAUUAUUACUAUUAUUUGCCAAACUCUGAUCUCGUUGCCAAAUCCAGGUUUUUUCCGGACUGUCCUUAGGAAGUGGUCGGUGUCUGUGCUGUAGGCUCCUCAUCUGUCUGCAAUUCCCGUUUUUUUUUUGUUGUUGUUGUUGUUUUUUGGGGUUUUUUUGGGGUUUGUUUUGUUGAUUUUGCCCUUUCUCGUGUGCCAUAGCCCCGAGCCCUCCUCGCACCGUGGUUAAUAUUUCGUGGAAUCGUUGUUCCCAAGUGAAUGGAUAACACAAUAAAAAAAAGGCUCACUUUGCAUUUUGCCAAAUUUCCUCUGCCUGCCUGUGCUGAGCUGAGCUCAGGGGAUCGGGAAUUCUGGAUCCUCUGGGACUGAAACCCCUUGGCAAUCCCCUGUCCCCUUUUCAGAGGAUUCUUGGGAAUCCUUCCAAUCUCAGAAAUUCCUUUUUCCACCCUUGGGAGCUGCUCUGAGCCUUCCCUUUUCCCACCCUUGGGAGCUGCUCUGAGCACACCCCCGGAUGUUCAGGUGGGGUUGGG
rnacentral:lncRNA from 12 species